rnacentral:rRNA from 1 species
AGUGAACGCUGGCGGUAGGCCUAACACAUGCAAGUCGAACGGCAGCACAGGAGAGCUUGCUCUCUGGGUGGCGAGUGGCGGACGGGUGAGGAAUACAUCGGAAUCUACUUUUUCGUGGGGGAUAACGUAGGGAAACUUACGCUAAUACCGCAUACGACCUACGGGUGAAAGCAGGGGAUCUUCGGACCUUGCGCGAUUGAAUGAGCCGAUGUCGGAUUAGCUAGUGGGCGGGGUAAAGGCCCACCAAGGGGACGAUCCGUAGCUGGUCUGAGAGGAUGAUCAGCCACACUGGAACUGAGACACGGUCCAGACUCCUACGGGAGGCAGCAGUGGGGAAUAUUGGACAAUGGGCGCAAGCCUGAUCCAGCCAUACCGCGUGGGUGAAGAAGGCCUUCGGGUUGUAAAGCCCUUUUGUUGGGAAAGAAAUCCAGCUGGUUAAUACCCGGUUGGGAUGACGGUACCCAAAGAAUAAGCACCGGCUAACUUCGUGCCAGCAGCCGCCGUAA